GCAUAACGCGAAGAACCUUACCUGGGCUCGAACGGUUGACGACACCCGCUAGAAAUAGUGGGGUUUCCUUCGGGAACGGCAAUCGAGGUGCUGCAUGGCUGUCGUCAGCUCGUGUCGUGAGAUGUUGGGUUAAGUCCCGCAACGAGCGCAACCCUUGUCCUGUGUUGCUAAUCUUCGGAUGCACUCUCAGGAGACCGCCAGCGACAAGCUGGAGGAAGGUGGGGAUGACGUACAAGUCAGCAUGGUCCUUUAUGUCCGAGGGCUACACACGUGCUACAAGUGGGCAGGACAAUGCGUUGACCAACCGCGAGGGGAGCUAAUCGUAUAAACCUGUUCUCAGUUCGGAUUGCAGGCUGCAACUCGCCUGCAUGAAGCUGGAAUCGCUAGUAAUGGCAGAUCAGCAUGCUGCCGUGAAUACGUUCCCGGGUCUUGUACACACCG
rnacentral:rRNA from 1 species